rnacentral:rRNA from 18 species
GGGGGACAACACCUGGAAACGGUUGCUAAUACCCCAUAUGCUUUCGAGUGAAAUGGAUUUUUCCGCCUAGAGAGAAGCUUGCGGCUGAUUAGCUUGUUGGUGAGGUAAUGGCUCACCAAGGCGACGAUCCGUAGCUGGUCUUAGAGGAUGAUCAGCCACACCGGGACUGAGACACGGCCCGGACUCCUACGGGAGGCAGCAGUGGGGAAUAUUGCGCAAUGGGGGAAACCCUGACGCAGCAAUGCCGCGUGAGUGAGGAAGGGUUUCGGCUCGUAAAGCUCUGUCAGAUGGGAAUAAUGGUCAAGGGUCUAAUAGGCCUUUGAUUUGAAGGUACCUUCAAAGGAAGCACCGGCUAACUUCGUGCCAGCAGCCGCGGUAAUACGAAGGGUGCAAGCGUUGUUCGGAUUUAUUGGGCGUAAAGCGCGCGCAGGCGGAUUGGUAAGUCAGAUGUGAAAUCUCGGGGCUCAACCCCGAAACUGCGUCUGAAACUAUCAAUCUAGAGUUAUGGAGGGGGAAGUGGAAUUUCGCAUGUAGGGGUAAAAUCCGUAGAGAUGCGAAGGAACACCAGAGGCGAAGGCGACUUCCUGGCCAUUAACUGACGCUGAGGCGCGAAAGCGUGGGGAGCAAACAGGAUUAGAUACCCU